AUCAUUACCUAGAGUUUGCGGGCUUUGCCUGCUAUCUCUUACCCAUGUCUUUUGAGUACUUACGUUUCCUCGGUGGGUUCGCCCGCCGAUUGGACAAUUUAAACCCUUUGCAGUUGCAAUCAGCGUCUGAAAAAAAUUAAUAAUUACAACUUUCAACAACGGAUCUCUUGGUUCUGGCAUCGAUGAAGAACGCAGCGAAAUGCGAUAAGUAGUGUGAAUUGCAGAAUUCAGUGAAUCAUCGAAUCUUUGAACGCACAUUGCGCCCCUUGGUAUUCCAUGGGGCAUGCCUGUUCGAGCGUCAUUUGUACCUUCAAGCUCUGCUUGGUGUUGGGUGUUUGUCUCGCCUUUGCGUGUAGACUCGCCUCAAAACAAUUGGCAGCCGGCGUAUUGAUUUCGGAGCGCAGUACAUCUCGCGCUUUGCACUCAUAACGACGACGUCCAAAAGUACAUUUUUACACUCUUGACCUCGGAUCAGGUAGGGAUACC
rnacentral:rRNA from 1 species